UACGUAGGGCGCAAGCGUUGUCCGGAAUUAUUGGGCGUAAAGAGCUCGUAGGCGGUCUGUCGCGUCUGUUGUGAAAACUCAGGGCUUAACCCUGAGCUUGCAGUGGGUACGGGCAGACUAGAGUGUGGUAGGGGAGACUGGAAUUCCUGGUGUAGCGGUGAAAUGCGCAGAUAUCAGGAGGAACACCGAUGGCGAAGGCAGGUCUCGUGGGCCAGCUA
rnacentral:rRNA from 1 species